rnacentral:rRNA from 1 species
UACGAAGGGGGCUAGCGUUGUUCGGAAUCACUGGGCGUAAAGCGCACGUAGGCGGCUUUUUAAGUCAGAGGUGAAAUCCUGGAGCUCAACUCCAGAACUGCCUUUGAUACUGGAGAGCUUGAGUCCGGGAGAGGUGAGUGGAACUGCGAGUGUAGAGGUGAAAUUCGUAGAUAUUCGCAAGAACACCAGUGGCGAAGGCGGCUCACUGGCCCGGUACUGACGCUGAGGUGCGAAAGCGUGGGGAGCAACAGG